GACAGCUGACUUCCUUGGUGAGAGCUUUGAUUCUGCAGCAUCCACCACACAUACAAACGCAAGGAGAAAUGGCAGGGUUGACAGGAAGCAAAGUUUUCCUUCAUUAUUUGCCACAUGAAACAGGGAAGAAGCGAAAGGAUAAAACUAAGAAGAAAAAUCAAAGAACAUGAAUACACAACCAAGAAGGUUCCUCUACAAGCAAAGUUAUCAUCUGCUUUUUGGGGAGGGAUAGCUAUGCUUAUAAGGCCAACUUAAACUAGCUAGUUCCACCCUUUCCUUUUUCUACAAUUCGUAAACGUUACUAAUAUCAGUUACAGCCCAGAAUCCAAUGGUAAAGCUGCCUGGGGAGAGAUGGAAGAGGUUGCAGCAAUGAGAGUAAACUGAAGAUGAAGUGGAAAACUUGGAGGUGGAAAUAUGAAGUGGGACAUUUUAAAAGCAACUGAAAAAGUGGAACAACAAAAGAUUAAUGGUGACUGUCCCUGUUGAAUUGGGAUAGUUGGAGGUUAUGCCACCUUUGCAGAAGAAUUCUUCUUGGCCUAAGAAUUUAUUCACAUUUAUCCUCCCAGGUGAGAUUUUAAUUGUGUGAUUGACAUGUCUUAUUCAUGGAAUUAUAUACAGGAUCCGGUGGACCAUUCCCAUCCACAGAGGUUUGGUUCUGAUCUCACUGCAGAUGGGAAAAAAUGGAAAUGGUCCCAUGUUAUUCAGUGAGCAGUGACAUAGGCACAUCCACAUCAGCAUGUUAGUGUGCAUGCAUCAUCAUAGAAUAACAUGAGGCAUAACAAUCUGCAGGCAGUCAAAUCCCUAGCUCACUGAUGUGGUAGGCAUAUUGUAUUUAUAACCCUCCUGAGUGGAUGAAGUGAGGUCCUAAGACCAAACAAACAAAACUGUAUGGAACAAAAGACUGAAUGGCGGCUCAGUGUCUAUUGACAGGUAAUGGUGAGAAUCAGAAAGUACCUCUGAAGAUUUUUAAAAAUGGAAAUUGAGUAUCUUCUGUUACUGAGAGUAGCUGUUUGUUUAUUUUAUGUAUGUGUUGUGUAAAGUCCUGAUCAUCUUCUUAAUAAUAACAGCAUGUUAAUGGAAUGCUUCCUCAUGAACAGCUACAUGAAGCAGCCUGGGUGAUAUAGACCUCUCACUUCCACAAAUAAUCUAUCUUCAAAGCAAUAAAUCCCGGAGUCUUCAGCCAAUCAAGCUGCCUAAUUGGUUGAACAUUUACAAACACUUGAUAAUUAAAUUUGUGUUAAACUAUGUAAAAGGAUUUAUGUUCCACUUCACCCAGAUUGCUUCCCCCUUUCAUUUUGCAAGAGUGAAAUUCCUUCUGCCUGAUGCUUCAUUCAGGUGGUUAGAUGCAUCACAUUAUGUCAGUAAUGUCACAUUAGUAGUUCAUUCCACUGUAAUGGGCUUGACACAUCAUUGGAAAGGCAUAUCAAGCCUCCCGAGUUUCAAACUGCCAUGUUUUCUUCCCAACCAAAGAACUUUAAUGUGAUAGAUUUUAAUUAGACUGGAGGGUUUAGGGGGGUGGCACUGAUUCUAUUUUUGUCAAACCUUUAAAACAAAGAUCUCUACUGUCUCAUAUAUAAGGUUAAAGCUAGAGCUAAAGUUCAUAUUAUCAGAGCUUAUUUUUGAAGUACCUGAGGGAGGGUAUACACACACACACACACACACACACAUAUAGGAAAAACAUAAGCAAAUUCAAUCUAGUCCAGCAUUCUGUUCUCAGAGUAGUGGAUCAAUUGCUUAUGGGAAGUUCUCUCAUACCAAUUCUUAUAACCAAAUUAAUUCAUUCUAACCCUAGAUAACUAUAACUGGCCUGAUUCUAUUUUAUAGAAUCCUGGGGUUUGCAGAACAGGAAGGAGUAAAUAGAAUUCCCAGCUCUAGUGCCUCACCAAAACCACAGAUCCCAUGAUUCCAUAUAAUGUUGUGGCACUUCUAAUGGCACAUUGGGCUUGUCUGCAUGGACCAUAUAAACUAGUUUUCCCAUGUUUUUUCAGCAAAAAGUCUAUGCAAGGCCCAGUCCUUGGAUCUGGAGCAAACAGACUGGAUGAUGCCCAGUCCAUUCAGCACCAAACCUGGGAUAUAAUGCACCAGGUGGCAGAAUAGGACACAUUUUAACUAGCCUCCCAGUGUUGCAACUGUAAUGGCGGGAGGGGCGCUCUUUGGCCAAGAUAAUCCAGGCUGCUCUGGAGUAUUCUGGCCCAUGCAGACAUAACCAUAGUGCUAUAAUUGUGAAAUGUAAAAGGGCCUUCUGACAUUUUCACUGUGGAACUUCUGGUAGAGUGCGUAGGCUCAACACUUACAAAAAAAGAUGAUCACCAUCAUCAUCAUCAUCAUCAUCAUCAUCAUCAUCAUCAUCAUCA